ensembl:lncRNA
AAGAAGAAGAAGAAUAGCUCUUUGUUACAAGAACAGUGAAAGGCAGUUUGGCAUCUCCCCAUGUGUGUGAAAUAUUAUCUACUCAAUGACACAGAGAAAGUUACAUUUACACAAGAAAGAUAUGUACAAGUUACACACACGCAUACAUGCCAUCUGAGGAGCAGGUGCAGGGGGGUCAGUGAUAGUGCACAUGGAGUGGUUGCUGUUGCUACUAUAAUACAUGCAGUUUAAAGAGGAAUGUUGGUUGCAUCAUAGUAUAACUAAAAAUACGGUUUAUAAAUCAAGUGUAAAACAUGAACUCAGUGUUUUUAACGAUCAACUGCACACGAGGUGGUCGGCGCCGACCUUUAACGAACAAAAAGAACAUCAAGCUAAGAGUUCACGAGACAAAACGGCUGAAACAACAAAGCGGCUCUUUUGUGUGUGUAACAUAUAAAAAUAGUCAAACUGACUGACGGUCGUACGUCAGACAAGUAAAGUACCCAGGAUACUUUUGUUGCCGUAGUGACACUGAGUCACUGUUGACGUCACAGGCAGAUCCACUUCCUGUGCUCCGCUGUGGUCAUGUGACUGACUCAUUCUGUUUGCGAUGUGAUGGUCAGGUGACCUCGGCCGACUCACUGUGUGUGUUUGUGUUCAGUGCGCAGGGUUUCAAGUGUGGCGCUGAUUGGACCAGAGUGACAUUCAGGUGGGUUCCUCUCAUUACUUGUGUGUGUGUGUGGUGAGUGAGAGAGAGAUCUGAGCACGCUCAGUGUGUCUCGUUCUUUCAGUCCUGACGGGAGCUACGUGGCCGGCGGAUCAGCUGACGGCGCUCUGUACAUCUGGAAUGUGCUGACGGGGAAAGUGGACCGAACUCUAGACCGGAACCACAGCUCAGCCAUCAACUCGGUGUCCUGGUCGCCUUCAGGAGCAUACGUGGCAAGCGUGGAGAAAGGCAGUCGCGCCAUCUUGUGGUCAGACAUGUGACCGGGCCCGAGGAGGCGGAGUCAGGCUGUAGGCAGCCAGUGGCGGCCCCUCUGCCAUCUUCAUCGUGGUGAAGAUGAAGAGGAUUCACUGAGACUGUGGAGACGAGCUGCCGUGUUCUGUUUCUGCAGCUUUUAAUGUUCAGCAUCAUUUUAAUGACCGGGAGGAGGCGGAGCCACAUGCGGCGCCGCAGCUGCUGAUGCGAGGACAGCCGUCGGAUGUCAGGUGACACGUUGGAAACGCAGAGACAUUUCACUGUUGACACUUCCUCUCCUCAUCCUCACUCCACAGGACGCCUCAGGAAACAGGAAGUGCGUGCACCGACUAAUCAGAGAUUAAAGAAACUGUCGUGUGGUUUGUUCCUGUCUGCACUCGGCAAUGCCUCAUUUCUACCUCGCCGCUUCGCUCGCUCCAGGUACUGCUGACUUCCUGUUGUUCGUUUUCCACGGCAGACAGAACCGCGUCCUUGCUGUGGGUGUCGCUGUGACAUCAUCAGCAGGACAGCGUGUCGCACAUCACGUGUUAUGAAUGCGGCGCCUGCCCGAGCCUCAACAGGUGGUCAGCACGAGCCUCAGUUCCGUCAUCAGAGGGGGCGGAGUGGAAAUGAGGCCGUUUGGACCGUAAAGUGAACCGCCAUCAGUGAUGUUUUUCCACAAACAGGAAGUGGACCUUCACAUUAAACUGUGUCAGAGCACACCUGUGUGGGUUUGUGUGUUUGAUUCACAGGUGUGUUACAUACUGCACUAACCUCGCUGCGAGCACGGACAGAUUGUGUAACCUGAUGAUUGUAAAUGUCCUGUAAAAAUCCUGAUGAAUAAAUCCUCUGACACACGAGAGUUCUUCCACGCCGCUCGCUCUCUGAGCGCCUCAUAGCGGUGGCGAGCUGUUCUUGUUCUUGAGCCCAGGUCGUCUCGUUUUACGUCUCGAUGUUUCCUGUGUUCUUCACAUUAAGGAGCCAAACAUUCCUGCUGGAAGCAGGGCUCGCAAAAUUCCCUGGUUGCCCUUCGGGUGGGCAUGCUUCAGUUUUUGGUAGAGAUUAUUUUUAUUGUAUAAUAUUGUAAAGCAAACAAAACAUCAAUCAAAAAAUUGUUAAAACAGAAAUUACAACAUCCAUCCGUUUGCUUCCACUUGUCCUUUUCAGGGUCGCGGGGGGCGCUGGAGCCUAUCCAGCUGUUAUAGGGCGAGAGGCGGGGUCCACCCUGGUCAGGUCACCAGUCUGUCAGGGCUAACAUGUAGAGACAGACAACCAUUCUCACCUAUGGGCAAUUUACACUAAUCAAUUAACCCUGCAAUCUGCAUGAAAUGACAACAACUGUAUAAAAUUAUAAUCAUCAUCAACUCAAAUAUUUGGUUGUAAUUGAACAGAAAUUUCUAUGAACUGUGUAGAACAUGAGAAUCUGACAUUUCCGCUGACGUCACGGAGGAGAAAAUGCCACUCGACGUUGAGGCCGCAGCAUCUCCUUCAUCAGCGUUUUCGCGGCCUCCAUUUCACUGCUCUUUGUUCUUGUCGGGAUUUUAUGAUCCAGGUGUCUUGAACCUUUUCCAGAAAACAUCCAGAAAUGAAUCAUCGUGUCAGGGCAAAAAGAUUCGGCCAGCUCUAAUAUGUGUGCCACACAGUGGGUUGUUAUGAUGUGGGGUAUCCUGUUUCAGUCUCCCAGCUGUUCCUGUUUUCUCUCUUCUCUGAUACCCGUGGUGUUCGCUGCUUCAUCAAUAGCCUCUAAAAUAUCUGCAGCGUUUGCACUCCUGACUGGCUGACAUUUGAUCAUGUAUGUGGACGUUACAUUUGUGCAAACUGCAUGCUGUGAUGUCAGCAGCAUCCUAACAACAUAAUGCAGUACGUCAGGUUUAAUUUGAACCAUUACAAAGAAAGUGGCUGACCAGGAGGAAGUGUGAACAGGAAGUUGUUUAAAUGUUUAGCAGUCUAUAGGACUUGAUCCUCUGUGACACAUUCAUGUAUUAUCUGAGGCUGGAUUAAUUAAAAAUUAAGCACAUGCAGCCAUAUAUGACUGCGUCCAUGCAAUAAGCGAUCAGACAAACACGGCUGUGUGUGGGUCGAUGUCUUUUUUUUCUCUGCGGUCAGGGUUCGAGUCCAGCUGAGAAAGAGAAGAAAGGGCCAACACAGGAGGUGAGUUUUAUAAAGAUCGUAAGUUAUCAGAGGAUAAAGUGACAUUUUUCUGUCUCAUGUCUUUGUCUCACAUGGAAACAGUGAAGACAGGAAAUGUGUCUUCGGUGCUGUUACACCAUAUGAAACUAGUUUCAC